AGGACGAACGCUGGCGGCGUGCUUAACACAUGCAAGUCGAGCGGUAAGGCCUCUUCGGGGGUACACGAGCGGCGAACGGGUGAGUAACACGUGGGUGACCUGCCCUCAGCUCUGGGAUAAGCCUGGGAAAACCGGGUCUAAUACCGGAUGGGACUGCUUGCCGCAUGGUGGGUGGUGGAAAGUUUUUUCGGCUGGGGAUGGCCCGCGGCCUAUCAGCUUGUUGGUGGGUGAUGGCCUACCAAGGCGGUGACGGGUA
rnacentral:rRNA from 1 species